GAUAACCUACCUAUAAGACUGGGAUAACUUCGGGAAACCGGAGCUAAUACCAGAUAAUAUUUUGAACCGCAUGGUUCAAAAGUGAAAGACGGUCUUGCUGUCACUUAUAGAUGGAUCCGCGCUGCAUUAGCUAGUUGGUAAGGUAACGGCUUACCAAGGCAACGAUGCAUAGCCGACCUGAGAGGGUGAUCGGCCACACUGGAACUGAGACACGGUCCAGACUCCUACGGGAGGCAGCAGUAGGGAAUCUUCCGCAAUGGGCGAAAGCCUGACGGAGCAACGCCGCGUGAGUGAUGAAGGUCUUCGGAUCGUAAAACUCUGUUAUUAGGGAAGAACAUAUGUGUAAGUAACUGUGCACAUCUUGACGGUACCUAAUCAGAAAGCCACGGCUAACUACGUGCCAGCAGCCGCGGUAAUACGUAGGUGGCAAGCGUUAUCCGGAAUUAUUGGGCGUAAAGCGCGCGUAGGCGGCCCUUUAAGUCUGAUGUGAAAGCCCACGGCUCAACCGUGGAGGGUCAUUGGAAACUGGAAAACUUGAGUGCAGAAGAGGAAAGUGGAAUUCCAUGUGUAGCGGUGAAAUGCGCAGAGAUAUGGAGGAACACCAGUGGCGAAGGCGACCCUCUGGUCUGUAACUGACGCUGAUGUGCGAAAGCGUGGGGAUCAAACAGGAUUAGAUACCCUGGUAGUCCACGCCGUAAACGAUGAGUGCUAAGUGUUACCGGGUUUCCGCCCCUUAGUGCUGCAGCUAACGCAUUAAGCACUCCGCCUGGGGAGUACGACCGCAAGGUUGAAACUCAAAGGAAUUGACGGGGACCCGCACAAGCGGUGGAGCAUGUGGUUUAAUUCGAAGCAACGCGAAGAACCUUACCCCAUCUUGACAUCCUUUGACAACUCUAGAGAUAGAGCCUUCCCCUUCGGGGGACAAAGUGACAGGUGGUGCAUGGUUGUCGUCAGCUCGUGUCGUGAGAUGUUGGGUUAAGUCCCGCAACGAGCGCAACCCUUAAGCUUAGUUGCCAUCAUUAAGUUGGGCACUCUAAGUUGACUGCCGGUGACAAACCGGAGGAAGGUGGGGAUGACGUCAAAUCAUCAUGCCCCUUAUGAUUUGGGCUACACACGUGCUACAAUGGACAAUACAAAGGGCAGCGAAACCGCGAGGUCAAGCAAAUCCCAUAAAGUUGUUCUCAGUUCGGAUUGUAGUCUGCAACUCGACUACAUGAAGCUGGAAUCGCUAGUAAUCGUAGAUCAGCAUGCUACGGUGAAUACGUUCCCGGGUCUUGUACACACCGCCCGUCACACCACGAGAGUUUGUA
rnacentral:rRNA from 1 species